GAGUUUGAUCCUGGCUCAGGAUGAACGCUAGCGGCAGGCUUAACACAUGCAAGUCGAGGGGUAUAGUUCUUCGGAACUAGAGACCGGCGCACGGGUGCGUAACGCGUAUGCAAUCUACCUUUCACAGAGGGAUAGCCCAGAGAAAUUUGGAUUAAUACCUCAUAGUAUAAUUGAAUGGCAUCAUUUAAUUAUUAAAGUCACAACGGUGAAAGAUGAGCAUGCGUCCCAUUAGCUUGUUGGUAAGGUAACGGCUUACCAAGGCGACGAUGGGUAGGGGUCCUGAGAGGGAGAUCCCCCACACUGGUACUGAGACACGGACCAGACUCCUACGGGAGGCAGCAGUGAGGAAUAUUGGUCAAUGGGCGCAAGCCUGAACCAGCCAUGCCGCGUGCAGGAUGACGGUCCUAUGGAUUGUAAACUGCUUUUGUACAGGAAGAAACACUGGUUCGUGAACCAGCUUGACGGUACUGUAAGAAUAAGGAUCGGCUAACUCCGUGCCAGCAGCCGCGGUAAUACGGAGGAUCCAAGCGUUAUCCGGAAUCAUUGGGUUUAAAGGGUCCGUAGGCGGUCAGAUAAGUCAGUGGUGAAAGCCCAUCGCUCAACGGUGGAACGGCCAUUGAUACUGUCUGACUUGAAUUAUUAGGAAGUAACUAGAAUAUGUAGUGUAGCGGUGAAAUGCUUAGAGAUUACAUGGAAUACCAAUUGCGAAGGCAGGUUACUACUAAUGGAUUGACGCUGAUGGACGAAAACCGUGGGUAGCGAACAGGAUUAGAUACCCUGGUUGUCCACGCCUAAAACGAUGAAUACUAGCUGUUGGGAGCAAUCUCAGUGGCUAAGCGAAAGUGAUAAGUAUCCCACCUGGGGGAGUACGUUCGCAAGAAUGAAACUCAAAGGAAUGGACGGGGGCCCGCACAAGCGGUGGAGCAUGUGGUUUAAUUCGAUGAUACGCGAGGAACCUUACCAAGGCUUAAAUGUAGAUUGACCGGUUUGGAAACAGAUCUUUCGCAAGACAAUUUACAAGGUGCUGCAUGGUUGUCGUCAGCUCGUGCCGUGAGGUGUCAGGUUAAGUCCUAUAACGAGCGCAACCCCUGUUGUUAGUUGCCAGCGAGUCAUGUCGGGAACUCUAACGAGACUGCCAGUGCAAACUGUGAGGAAGGUGGGGAUGACGUCAAAUCAUCACGGCCCUUACGCCUUGGGCUACACACGUGCUACAAUGGCCGGUACAGAGAGCAGCCACUGGGUGACCAAGAGCGAAUCUACAAAACCGGUCACAGUUCGGAUCGGAGUCUGCAACUCGACUCCGUGAAGCUGGAAUCGCUAGUAAUCGGAUAUCAGCCAUGAUCCGGUGAAUACGUUCCCGGGCCUUGUACACACCGCCCGUCAAGCCAUGGAAGCUGGGGGUGCCUGAAGUCGGUGACCGCAAGGAGCUGCCUAGGGUAAAACUGGUAACUAGGGCUAAGUCGUAACAAGGUAACCG
rnacentral:rRNA from 1 species